rnacentral:rRNA from 1 species
CGGAGGAAAAGAAACCAACAGGGAUUGCCUUAGUAACGGCGAGUGAAGCGGCAAAAGCUCAAAUUUGAAAUCUGGCACCUUCGGUGUCCGAGUUGUAAUUUGAAGAAGGUAACUUUGGAGUUGGCUCUUGUCUAUGUUCCUUGGAACAGGACGUCACAGAGGGUGAGAAUCCCGUGCGAUGAGAUGCCCAAUUCUAUGUAAAGUGCUUUCGAAGAGUCGAGUUGUUUGGGAAUGCAGCUCUAAGUGGGUGGUAAAUUCCAUCUAAAGCUAAAUAUUGGCGAGAGACCGAUAGCGAACAAGUACAGUGAUGGAAAGAUGAAAAGAACUUUGAAAAGAGAGUGAAAAAGUACGUGAAAUUGUUGAAAGGGAAGGGCUUGAGAUCAGACUUGGUAUUUUGCGAUCCUUUCCUUCUUGGUUGGGUUCCUCGCAGCUUACUGGGCCAGCAUCGGUUUGGAUGGUAGGAUAAUGACUAAGGAAUGUGGCUCUACUUCGGUGGAGUGUUAUAGCCUUGGUUGAUACUGCCUGUCUAGACCGAGGACUGCGUCUUUUGACUAGGAUGUUGGCAUAAUGAUCUUAAGCCACCCGUCUUGAAACACGG